AGGAAAUCAAGUGGUUACUUUCAGGCAUCAUGCAAUUCUAGAAGACAAUAUUGUUCAUAUUUUGAAUGCUGACAAAAUUUGUACUCCAAACUACAACUUAAUUUACAACUAAUUAAAACCAUCGUGCUUUUUAAAGAUUUGAUCAUGUAUGCUAACUGUAAUCACUAGUGGGUAGGUAUCAUGUAUUAUUUUGUACAUAAAUUGUGUUUCUUUGAAUUUCUAUAAAUUGGUAUCAGUGUAGUGUUGAUGAAGGAAAAAUAGUCUAAUUAGUUUGGCAUCAAAUAGUUUAAAUCAACAGUCAUCACAGAAAUGAUUGAAGAAAAAUUCUAAAUUACCUUUCAUGUUUCAGUCA